CCCCUCAUAGCUCAACUGGUAGAGCGUUCGGCUGUAGCCCGAGAGGUCCCCGGUUCAAAUCCGGGUGAGGGGA
rnacentral:tRNA from 1 species